ensembl:lincRNA
AUUAAAAUUAAAACAUGGGCCGGGCACGGUGGCUGAUGCCUGUAAUCCUAGUAUUUUGGGAGGCCAAGGCGAGUGGAUUGUCUGAGCUCAGGAGUUUGAGACCAGCCUGGGCAAUGCAGCCAAACCCUGUCUCUACUGAAAAAACACAAAAAAUUAGCUGAGUGGGGUAAUGUGCACCUGUAGUCCCAGCUAUUCAGGAGGCUGAAGCAUGAGAACUGCUUGAACCUGGGAGGCAGUGGUUACAGUGAGCUGAGAUCAUGCCACUGGACUCCAGUCUGGGUGACAGAGUGAGAAUCUAUCUCAAAAAAAAAAGCAAAUAAAAUAAAAUUAUAACAGGCAAACUGUUAUUGGCUAGGUAACUCCUAUGUUGAAUAAACAAAGCUGAUAUAUAAAGAAUUCUGAGGUGUGCUUCACAGGUCAUCACACACAGCUUCUGGCCUUCUGCUGGGGUCUGGCCCAGCCCUGUGCUUGGGUAAGGACAGAAGGCUCUGGGUGAUGCCCCGUGAAGGAGAACCCAGCAGCUGGGCGUUGUCUUUUGUGUGGUGGUGCUAACGCUUAUCCACUGGUCUCAUGACUGGCUCUGCUUUGCUGCACAGCUCUGUCUCUCACUCCGUGCUGUCUGAGAUGCAGGUGAUUGAGCAGGAAACCCCAGUGAGUGCAAAAUCUUCUCGCUCGCAGCUGGACUUGUUUGAUGAUGUUGGUACUUUCGCCUCUGGACCCCCCAAGUACAAGGACAACCCCUUUUCCUUAGGAGAAAGCUUUGGUUCCCGCUGGGAUACAGAUGCUGCCUGGGGUGUGGACAGGGUAGAGAAGGAGCCAGAAGUGACAAUCUCAAGCAUCCAGCCUAUUUCAGAACGGGCCACAAACCGGAGGGAGGUGGAGAGCCAGAGCACAGGCCUUGAGUCUAGUGAGGCGCGUCAGAAAUUCGCAGGAGCCAAAGCCAGCUCAUCUGACAUGUUCUUUGGGCGGGAGGUGGAUGCUGAGUAUGAGGCUAGGUCUCGGCUGCAGCAGCUCUCAGGCAGCAGUGCCAUCAGCUCUUCAGACCUCUUUGGGGACAUGGACGGAGCUCACGGAGCAGGAAGUGUAUCUCUGGGGAACGUGCUGCCUACAGUGGACAUUGCCCAGUUUAAGCACGGUGUCAAGUCUGUGGCUGGGAAAAUGGCUGUGCUGGCCAAUGGUGUGAUGAAUUCCUUGCAGGAUCGCUACGGUUCCUACUGAUCCAAGCUCUGUGACUCAGGCGUACGGUGGUGACAGUAGCAAGAACUCCACAGAUCCCAGGCCGUGGAUGCUUGCCUUGUGAAAGCUGGGGAGGAUUUGUUACUUUGUAUGUGUGGUGUGUGCGUGGGGUAGCCUUUGAGGCCACCUGUGAGGGGAAUGGUCAGUACCAGCCCUUGUCCUCUGCCUGUGGACUGAGCCCCUUCUUCCCCCCACACACAAACCGUGUGUUCACCUCUUGUCCUUCUGUCCUGCCCCGACAGCUGCUGCUCACUUGUCCUGCCACACUGGGAGAGGGGUUCCCCCAGGAUGGCUUAUUCUGGGUCCAGCCUUUCCACAAGUAGGGAAAGUGGAAGGUAGAAGGUUUUGCUGGCUCUAGGGUUCUUCUAGCUCAAGGGCUUGGGCCUCCAUCCUCCAGAACCGGGGGAGGCCUGGAAGGAGUUCACUGUAGACCCAUCCUCUGGGGAAAGAGGCUGCGGACUUGUUGCUGCUGCUGUCAGUGGCCUCUUCUGGGUGCCAGGAGAGGGUGAGGGAGAGGAAGGACCUUUGUCUGGGCUUUACUAAGGGCUGGGAACUUUACCUGAUACCUAAAGGUUUCAUUCAAGAUCAGACUGGAGGCCUGAGUGGUCUCCCGUCUCACCACCACUUUCUACAGUAAGCACUUGGAAGAUGACUUCCAGGAGUCUCAGGGUCCUUCUGUACCAUCUACUGUGGGCCACAGGACCCUCUGUGACAUUCUGUGUCCCUUCUUCCCCUGGUUGGUGGCCACUGAGGGUCUGGUCUGCUGUGUGUCAACUCUGGAUGCUGUGAGCUGAUGCUGGCCAGGGAAGCAGAUGGUGUGAGGGGCAGAGGCAGGCUCCUGGGGCUCAGCUCCUUCCUCUGCAUCAUUCUGGGCUUGGGGGCCUGGACAGCACCCGCCAGUGAGAGCUUGCGGGCCUCGCCCUCUGGGAGCUGAGCCAUGCACUGUGCCAUUCUUG